rnacentral:lncRNA from 1 species
GCCUUCCCUGCGCGGCUCCCCGCCCUCUCGGCCUCACCGGCUCCGGCGACCGCGGGGGAGAAGCUGUUGGGGGAGGGCCGGAACGCACCGCCAUCGGCGUCCGGGGCGGGGGAGCCGGGAAACCGUCGUCGCCAUCGCCCCGCCAGCCCGAGGCGCGGGAGGGGCCCGGAAAGCUCCCUCCCGCCCGCUCGCCGCUGCCGGCGGCCCCGGGGGCGCCCCUUCCGCGGCCGAGGCCCCCGCUCGCGUGGGGAAGCUUCUACCUGCGAGCCUGCGGCCCCUGCCCCCGGCACCCGAGACAUCCCCGACCCGGCGCGCCGGAUUCUCUGCCAGGUUUUACAGCCUCCCUCGCCUUGGGACCGCCGCGGAGGACCCGUUCCCGCCACUUCGGACCUCGCGAGCGGGGCUGAGCUGCUUGGGUCGGGGACACCACCAGCCUCUGGAGAAACGGCCCGAAGCACCCCGAAGAAGAGGGGGUCCCAGUCCCCUGCCCCUCCCUUGUGCGCACCCCCACCCCCAGCUUGCCUGGAACCUGACUCCACACCUUUGUCGACCGGGACAGGGACUGGGGGUUGCACCCCAGAUCAGAAAGUCAGAGGUGGCCCUCCGAAUCGGCGCGGACUUCCGAGGAACCUCAGCCAAUUCUCGACCCCCUUACCACCUGCAAGGCCUUAGGAAUCGGCUCCAGAAAGCUCGAGCUUAUCUGCGUGUUUCGUUUUAAAAAUCACUUCUAAGAUAAAACCUAACUAGGCUUUCCCCUUCAGACUUUCAGUAACUCCUGUUUGGCAAAUUUUGACAUUCACUCUAUCCUUCGUCUUUGUAAGGACAUAUCAAGACUUAGAAGGCUUUGAUUACACAUACGGAUGGCAUGAGUCGUGAUAUAAAAUAGUAUUGUUUUCACGUGUACUUCGAAGUCAUCUCAUUUGAAAUUAACUGUCAUAAUUGACUAUUUGGAAUAUUCAACCUAAAUACUACCCGCUGCUGUGGUGACGGGGGGUGGAGGAAGCGUGGUGGAACCCCAACACCUAGUGAGGGGUGGCUGAUUAAUACCACGGCUCACAACAUAACAGAGCGGCUCAUUCCAUGAACAACCCCGGGGGGAUUUCGAAUUCUAUCAUCUGGGCAAAAGAUGUGAUGAGUGUAACUUCCUGUUUUCUCCAAACUAAAACACUACGCAGAUUCCUGUACCGCUCUGGGACAGAAAUCCUCAGCCAGAGCAGAGGCCGUCCCCAGAGUCCACACUGUUUCCUGCAUAAAGUGGGUUAUCUCAGAAGAAACAUCCCACUGGUCUGUGUGAUCCUUCUAUUGAAAUGUGGUCUUUUAUCUACAUCUAAGUAUCUCUAGAAGUAAUGCGUUUGUAUGUACUUGUCACUCAGAUAUGUAAUCCCUUAAUUUGUGCGGGGUUUUGGGGUGUGAAAAAUUCUUGGUUUAUAUCCUACACUUUUAAAUAACCUCGUCAAAACUUACAUGUAUUUAACACCUUUUUUUGUGAGCACAUGGUAAGGUUGGAAGUAAAAAUGGAAGGUUU